rnacentral:rRNA from 1 species
UACGGAGGGUGCGAGCGUUGUUCGGAAUCACUGGGCGUAAAGGGCGUGUAGGCGGUCCGCUAAGUCUGAUGUGAAAGCCCGGGGCUCACCCCCCGGAAGGGCAUUGGAAACUGACGGACUCGAGUCCCGAAGAGGAGGGUGGAAUUCCUGGUGUAGCGGUGAAAUGCGUAGAUAUCAGGAGGAACACCGGUGGCGAAGGCGGCCCUCUGGACGGUGACUGACGCUGAGACGCGAAAGCGUGGGGAGCAAACAGG